GCCAAAUUCGCGAUGUCCGCCCAUCCCCUGGGCCUAUAUAAGAGACCCCCGAGACCCUCUUGACCUCCACAACACCACACCCCACUCCCAUCUUCCCUCGGGCUCCCCGUAGCCCGAAUUUUGUCGAGGAGCCGCCGCCGUUUUCUUCGACACCGGCGACGAUUUUCGUCGCUGUAAAGAAGUUCGGGAGCAUCCGCGAUAACGAGAGCGGAACACGCCGAUGCUGCGGACGUCGCUCUCGUUCUUAUCCAACCUCGCCGGGACCAGCUGACAGCCGGUGGAUCUCCACCACGUCUACCAGCAUCGCCUCAAAGCCUCGCCCAAACCAUCCGACGUUUGUAGCUUCGUCUUCAUCCACGACCGGAGUUGCAAAAUCCACCGCCGGCCACACACCGUUGUUCCGAUGACGAGUGAGAUACGAUGAUAGGGUCACGUGCUCCAGUCGAUUGCCUGUGGCACAUUUGCUGGAUUCGCCACUUUAUUUGUCUUCCGCUGUUUACUUUGGCCUACGGGCAUUUAUGUAAUAAAUGACUAUGUAUUCGGAUUUGAUGCGUUGUAAUAAUGAUAUGACUGUGAUAUUUAUCU